rnacentral:rRNA from 1 species
CAGCCGCCACGGUAAUACGUAGGUGGCAAGCGUUGUCCGGAAUUAUUGGGCGUAGAGCGCGCAGGCGGUUUCUUAAGUCUGAUGUGAAAGCCCCCGGCUUAACCGGGGAGGGUCAUUGGAAACUGGGAGACUUAGAGUGCAGAAGAGGAGAGUGGAAUUCCAUGUGUAGCGGUGAAAUGCGUAGAUAUAUGGAGGAACACCAGUGGCGAAGGCGACUCUCUGGUCUGUAACUGACGCUGAGGCGCGAAAGCGUGGGGAGCAAACAGGAUUAGAUACCCCUGUAGUCCCUGUCUCUUAUACA